GACGAACGCUGGCGGCGUGCUUAACACAUGCAAGACGAACGAUGAAGCUGGAGCUUGCUCCGGUGGAUUAGUGGCGAACGGGUGAGUAACACGUGAGCAAUCUGCCCUUGACUCUGGGAUAACUGCGGGAAACUGUAGCUAAUACCGGAUACGAGACCUGAAGGCAUCUUCGGGUCUGGAAAGAAUUUCGGUCAAGGAUGAGCUCGCGGCCUAUCAGCUUGUUGGUGAGGUAAUGGCUCACCAAGGCGACGACGGGUAGCCGGCCUGAGAGGGUGACCGGCCACACUGGGACUGAGACACGGCCCAGACGCCUACGGGAGGCAGCAGUGGGGAAUAUUGCACAAUGGGCGCAAGCCUGAUGCAGCGACGCCGCGUGAGGGAUGACGGCCUUCGGGUUGUAAACCUCUUUCAGCACCGACGAAGCGCAAGUGACGGUAGGUGCAGAAGAAGGACCGGCCAACUACGUGCCAGCCGCCGCCGUAA
rnacentral:rRNA from 1 species